UACCCGCAGCACAAGUGGUGGUCAUUAUUAUUGGGCCUAAAGCGUCCGUAGCUGGCCUGUUAGAUGCCUGGGUAAAUCGAUGCGCUCAACGCAUCGAACUCCGGGUAGACCGGCAGGCUUGGGACCGGGAGAGGCGUGAGCUACUCGGGGGGUAGGGGUAAAAUCCUGUAAUCCUUCGGGGAGGACCAGUGGCGAAGGCGCUACACUAGAACGGCUCUGACAGUGAGGGACGAAGCCCUGGGGCGCAAACCGG
rnacentral:rRNA from 1 species